CCUGGCUCCAGGACGAAACGCUGGCGGGGGUGCUUUAACACAGCCAAGUCGAAACGGUAAGCCCCCAGCUUGCUGGGGUACACGAGGGGCGAACGGGGGAGUAACACGUGGGUGACCUGCCCCGCACUUCGGGAUUAGCCUGGGAAACUGGGUCUAAUACCGGAUAGGACCGCACCGUGAGGGUGUGGUGGAAAGUUUUUCGGUGUGGGAUGGGCCCGCGGCCUAUCAGCUUGUUGGUGGGGUAAUGGCCUACCAAGGCGGCGACGGGUAGCCGGCCUGAGAGGGUGGACGGCCACAUUGGGACUGAGACACGGCCCAGACUCCUACGGGAGGCAGCAGUGGGGAAUAUUGCACAAUGGGCGGAAGCCUGAUGCAGCGACGCCGCGUGGGGGAUGACGGCCUUCGGGUUGUAAACUCCUUUCACCAUCGACGAAGGUUUUCUGACGGUAGAUGGAGAAGAAGCACCGGCUAACUACGUGCCAGCAGCCGCGGUAAUACGUAGGGUGCGAGCGUUGUCCGGAAUUACUGGGCGUAAAGAGUUCGUAGGUGGUUUGUCGCGUCGUCUGUGAAAUUCCGGGGCUUAACUCCGGGCGUGCAGGCGAUACGGGCAUAACUUGAGUACUGUAGGGGAGACUGGAAUUCCUGGUGUAGCGGUGAAAUGCGCAGAUAUCAGGAGGAACACCGGUGGCGAAGGCGGGUCUCUGGGCAGUAACUGACGCUGAGGAGCGAAAGCAUGGGUAGCGAACAGGAUUAGAUACCCUGGUAGUCCAUGCCGUAAACGGUGGGCGCUAGGUGUAGGGGUCUUCCACGACUUCUGUGCCGUAGCUAACGCAUUAAG
rnacentral:rRNA from 1 species